GACGAACGCUGGCGGCGUGCUUAACACAUGCAAGUCGAACGGAAAGGCCUGCUUUCCCUUGUGGAUUGCGGGUACUCGAGUGGCGAACGGGUGAGUAACACGUGAGUGAUCUGCCCCCAACUUGGGUAUAAGCCUGGGAAACUGGGUCUAAUUCCCGAUAGGACUGCAGGGUGGUGCCUGUGGUGGAAAACGAUUUUCUAGUGGUUGGGGAUGAGCUCGCGGCCUAUCAGCUUGUUGGUGGGGUAAUGGCCUACCAAGGCGGCGACGGGUAGCCGGCCUGAGAGGGUGGACGGCCACAUUGGGACUGAGAUACGGCCCAGACUCCUACGGGAGGCAGCAGUGGGGAAUAUUGCACAAUGGGCGGAUGCCUGAUGCAGCGACGCCGCGUGGGGGAUGACGGCCUUCGGGUUGUAAACUCCUUUCGACCGCGAGGAAGCCACCUGGUUGGAAGGGUGGUGACGGUAGUGGUAGAAGAAGCACCGGCUAACUACGUG
rnacentral:rRNA from 1 species